rnacentral:lncRNA from 1 species
CAAGCCACUAUCCACUGCCAAUGUUAUUAAGACAAGCCGCUGUGCCACUGCCAAUGUUAUAAAAAUAAGUCCUUGUGUGGACGAUGGCUACAUUUAGGUAAGUUUUUUUUCUCUUUCCCCCUCUCCCUUCCCUGUGUUUAUCUGUUUAAUUGGGUUUUUUUUUCUUUUUUAGAUAUCUCUAUACAUUAACAUGGUCACAUUAACGAUAACUUCAGUCAACAAAAGUACUCAAAAUACAACAACUUUGGUAUGUUGCUACGUCUUAUUACCAUCUAGUCAUGUCACGAACAAAGCUCGGACUGUAUGGCUUUUGAAAUUCAUGUUACAUUAUACAUAAUUGCAUCCACUAAUACUGUUGCAUUAAUAUUUACAGAUAUCAGAUGUAUACAAUAAUAUGCCUUUCAUUUGCUUGCGCCUGGCAACAUUGGUGGUUAAAUUAUAUUGAAUGAUAUCAUCUUAUGUCAAUGAAUAUUCGAAAAUGAAACAAUUCAAUUCAGCUACCAAAGUUAACACGUCUACAGUCGUGUCGUUAUGUAUUCCGAAAAUUCAAUGUGGAAGACUUGAAAAUUAAAAA